GAUGAACGCUAGCGGCAGGCCUAACACAUGCAAGUCGAGGGGUAACAUAGGAAAGCUUGCUUUUCUGAUGACGACCGGCGCACGGGUGCGUAACGCGUAUACAACCUACCUUUUAGCGGGGAAUAGCCCAGGGAAACUUGGAUUAAUGCCCCAUAGUAUAUAGACUUCUCCUGAAGUUUAUAUUAAACAUUUAUGGCUAUUAGAUGGGUAUGCGUCCUAUUAGUUAGUUGGUAAGGUAACGGCUUACCAAGGCAGCGAUAGGUAGGGGUCCUGAGAGGGAGAUCCCCCACACUGGUACUGAGACACGGACCAGACUCCUACGGGAGGCAGCAGUGAGGAAUAUUGGACAAUGGGCGAGAGCCUGAUCCAGCCAUGCCGCGUGCAGGAAGACUGCCCUAUGGGUUGUAAACUGCUUUUACAGAGGAAGAACCACCCCCACGUGUGGGGGUUUGACGGUACUCUGCGAAUAAGGAUCGGCUAACUCCGUGCCAGCCGCCGCCGUAACAC
rnacentral:rRNA from 1 species